GAUGAACGCUGGCGGCGUGCCUAAUACAUGCAAGUAGAACGCUGAAGAGAUGAGCUUGCUCUUCUUGGAUGAGUUGCGAACGGGUGAGUAACGCGUAGGUAACCUGCCUGGUAGCGGGGGAUAACUAUUUGAAACGAUAGCUAAUACCGCAUAAAAUGGGUUAUUGCAUUAUAGUCCAUUGAAAGGUUCAAAUUCAUCACUACGAUAGGGACGUGCGUUGUAUGAGCUAGUUGGUGGGGUAACGGUGCACCAAGGCGACGAUGCAUAGCCGACCUGAGAGGGUGAUCGGCCACACUGGGACUGAGACACGGCCCAGACUCCUACGGGAGGCAGCAGUAGGGAAUCUUCGGCAAUGGCCGGAAGUCUGACCGAGCAACGCCGCGUGAGUGAAGAAGGUUUUCGGCUCGUAAAGCUCUGUUGUAAGAGAAGAACGAGUGUGAGAGUGGAAAGUUCACACUGUGACGGUAUCUUAACAGAAAGGGACGGCUAACUACGUG
rnacentral:rRNA from 1 species